GAAACAAAUUUAUAAUCAAACAAGUAGACAAUCUAUUCACCUUAAUCACUUUCUCUUACUAUAUUCCUAAAAACCAUAAAUUUCUCCCUUUCUUUUUCUACGCUCAGCCUCUCAAGGCCUCAAGCUGCUACUCCGCCCCACCGCCACGCCGCCACCUUAAGUUCAGCCGCUUAAGAUCUCCUUCAGUCCUUCAGUCUUUCAGUCGCCCAGAUCUCCUACUACUCGUGUCGGUUGUUGAUGACUACAUUUGAGGAAUUCAUUUGAGACGUAUUAUUGGUACUGUUUUUUUUUUUUUUUUUGCUACUUUUUUUAUUAUUUAGUAAAAUGACUUAUGUAAACUUUGUAAUGUUAAGACUUUAUUAAGCUUUGUAUUUUUAAUUUGAGGAGUUGGAUUUGUAAUGCACUAAGACUAAUGCUAGUAUGCCACUACUUCGUAUAUGAGGAGUUAUAUGUUAAA